GACGAACGCUGGCGGCGUGCUUAACACAUGCAAGUCGAACGGAAAGGCCCUGAUUUUGUGGGGUGCUCGAGUGGCGAACGGGUGAGUAACACGUGAGUAACAUGCCCUUGACUUUGGGAUAACUUCAGGAAAAUGGGGAUAAUAUCGGAUAGGAGCUCCUGCUGCAUGGUGGGGGUUGGAAAGUUUCGGCGGUUGGGGAUGGACUAGCGGCUUAUCAGCUUGUUGGUGGGGUAGUGGCUUACCAAGGCUUUGACGGGUAGCCGGCCUGAGAGGGUGACCGGCCACAUGGCGACUGAGAUACGCCCCAGUAUCCUACGGGACGCAGCAGUGGAGAAUAUUGCACAAUGGGCGGAAGCCUGAGGCAGCAACGCCGCGUGCGUGAUGACGGCCUUCGGGUUGUAAACCUCUUUCGCCUGUGACGAAGCGUGAGUGACGGUAAUGGGUAAAGAAGCACCGGCUAACUACGUG
rnacentral:rRNA from 1 species